CAGCAGCCGCGGGAAUACGAAGGGUGCAAGCGUUAAUCGGAAUUACCGGGCGUAAAGCGUGCGUAGGCGGUGAGUUAAGUCUGCUGUGAAAUCCCCGGGCUCAACCUGGGAAUGGCAGUGGAUACUGGCUCGCUAGAGUGUGUCAGAGGAUGGUGGAAUUCCCGGUGUAGCGGUGAAAUGCGUAGAGAUCGGGAGGAACACCAGUGGCGAAGGCGACUCUCUGGUCUGUAACUGACGCUGAGGAGCGAAAGCGUGGGGAGCGAACAGGAUUAGAUACCCCAGUAGUCCCUGUCUCUUAUAA
rnacentral:rRNA from 1 species